GGGCCCGCACAAGCGGUGGAGCAUGUGGUUUAAUUCGAUGCAACGCGAAGAACCUUACCUACUCUUGACAUCCAGAGAACUUUUCAGAGAUGAAUUGGUGCCUUCGGGAACUCUGAGACAGGUGCUGCAUGGCUGUCGUCAGCUCGUGUUGUGAAAUGUUGGGUUAAGUCCCGCAACGAGCGCAACCCUUAUCCUUGUUUGCCAGCGAGUAAUGUCGGGAACUCCAGGGAGACUGCCGGUGAUAAACCGGAGGAAGGUGGGGACGACGUCAAGUCAUCAUGGCCCUUACGAGUAGGGCUACACACGUGCUACAAUGGCGCAUACAGAGGGCAGCCAACUUGCGAGAGUGAGCGAAUCCCAAAAAGUGCGUCGUAGUCCGGAUCGGAGUCUGCAACUCGACUCCGUGAAGUCGGAAUCGCUAGUAA
rnacentral:rRNA from 1 species